UACUCUGAGUGAUGCCCGCUAGGGGUAUUUUUUGGCCCCUCUAAAAAUGNCGCANAAAAAGGGGUGGGCAAGUCUGGUGCC
rnacentral:rRNA from 1 species